CAAAUGAAGUAAAUUAUUAUGUAUCAAGAUUGGUUUCAAGAAAAAUACUUCACAACUCCAGAGUCUCACAGUCUGCGUUCAGAUUUGAUAAGAUUCAUAAUAGGAGCUAUUCAUCCUACUAACGAUAUGCUUUGUUCAGACAUUAUUCCACGAUGGGCUGUCAUCGGUUGGUUAUUGACCUCAUGUACAAAUGCAGUAGCUCAGGCUAAUGCUAAACUUGCUUUGUUUUACGACUGGUUGUUUUUCGAUCCACUUAAGGAUAACAUAAUGAAUAUUGAACCGGGCAUCCUAGUUAUGUACCAUUCUAUUAAAAAUCACCCGUUGGUUAGCUGUACUUUACUUGAUUUCCUGUGCAGAAUAAUGAAAAAUUUCUAUCCCAGAGGAGAAGACAAAGUACGCGCUGGAAUUUAUAAUUCAUUACGAAUUAUUCUCGAGAAACAGGUUAUACCAAACCUUUUACCAUUGUUGGAGUCUGUUAAAUUAGAUCGUGAAUUGAAAACAAUGCUACGAGAAAAUUUUCGAGAGUUUUUCGCAUUCACACCUGCUUCUCCUAAUUCAUUCAGCGCGGCGAACCCUGUAAAAAUAGUUACAGAUGAAGAGCAAAAUUUUCCAAGUGAUUCUAGCAAGGAUUUUUGGAAUAUUUGUCCAGAGUAUGUAAGCUAUAAUGCGACAGUAGAGUUACAAAAAUUCAGUGAUGACGAGGAUGAUAACACUAGAAUAAUGAAUACAAAGGAUGAACCGUCUGAUGACGACGACUUACCACUUUCUAAAGUAAUGAGAAUGGAAAAACCAGUCAUCCAAUCGCUUCCCGAGGAUUUGUUACAAUUCAUAGAUGCCUUCGUUUUAUCACAAAAAUCUGAUGACUUUGAAUCAAUUCUAAUGUCACUCAAUGCGCCGUCAUGCCUCCUCAGCGUGGAACAAGAGCUGUAUAUUCAUGAAAGAAUCAUAUCUACGCUAAAACAAACAUUAGAUGAUUGUUCAAUAUAUCCGGAAUCUAAAUCUGACGAAUGCCUUUCAGAAAGUAUUAGUCAUCCGUUAUGUUGUCUUUUCAAAGUGCUGUAUCACACGGAGGAAAAAUGUAAAAGAUAUGUGAUAAAUUUAUUAAUAGCUACAUGUAAUCAGAUACCAAGCAUCGGCUAUUUAUUACUACAUUUCCUCAAAGUUUAUGCGAAAUUACAAGCACGGCGGAAGGAAAACUCAACUUCUACAUUGAAAGGCAGCGUUUAUAAAUAUUUCUGUACACUUAUCAACUCUGAAUUCGAGUGUCAAUUGAAGCAGGACCUCACCAUGUUGGAAAAAACAGAUUCGGAAAUGUUCUUUUGGAUACUGCCGGACUUAUUCAAAGAGUACAGAGGUGUAAUGAUAAACAACACGGAUAUUUUUGAAUUAUUCAUAGGAGCCGUUGAUGCAACAAAUUUACGUGAUGUUAUAUUCAGUGUGACUCAAGGAAAGCUCGUUAUAUUAAACAACGAUAACAUAAUUGGUGUGAUUCGAAAAAGUCUCGAAUUCGAGACGUUUGAGCAAUUUUGCUUCUGGCAACUUAUACAAGCUCACGAUGUUCCACUAGAAUCUUUUCAGGAUAUUCUUCCUGAACUGGACCCGACGUUGCAUGCGGAAGCGUUAACGUACAUUCUAUUGUUAUUAAAAAAUGAAAAGCCAUCAACAAGUUUGAUGAAAUGUCUACUUAGUCGAGAUUCCAGAUGUAAAGCAGAUGCAUUUGUCAUUUCAGUACUCAGAUGUUGGUGUGAUGAGUACGAGAGUAAGCUGUCAGAAAUAAUAGCUGGUCUUUUGACAUCGAGAUAUCCUUCGUGCUCUCCAAACAAACGUAAACGUCCUCUGAAAGCGUCUCCAUCACAAAGCUGCACACCAACUUCCGAGCAGAUUCUACAUCAUCUGGAGCAUUUCCGUCGUAGUUGUAGACAUGGUAAUGGAACGGGAACAGGCCUUUAUGUUCAAAACGAGAUGCAAAGGUCGCUGCAGCAAGCAUUUGCUCAUAGCACCGACAGUCAAAAGAUGUUGGUGUGAUGAGUACGAGAGUAAGCUGUCAGAAAUAAUAGCUGGUCUUUUGACAUCGAGAUAUCCUUCGUGCUCUCCAAACAAACGUAAACGUCCUCUGAAAGCGUCUCCAUCACAAAGCUGCACACCAACUUCCGAGCAGAUUCUACAUCAUCUGGAGCAUUUCCGUCGUAGUUGUAGACAUGGUAAUGGAACGGGAACAGGCCUUUAUGUUCAAAACGAGAUGCAAAGGUCGCUGCAGCAAGCAUUUGCUCAUAGCACCGACAGUCAAAAGAAAUACUUCGCAGAUCUGUUUGCAUUGGCUGCUGAGGAUGAAACGAUAGGUACAAUAGGACGAAGAAGUACUAGUAGUCGAGGCAGGAAGGUUGUGGCAAAUAAAAAAGACCCAUCUCCGUUUAACAAUAAUGCAAAGAAGACUCAAGACACUUACGCUAGCGAUGACUCUACAGAUGAUGACUGGUCGAAACACAAAACUGGGAAACGACGUAAGAAGGCCUUUAGUGACUCAGACUGAUUGCAUUCUACUUUAUAUUUUCAAUGAUAAUCUGUGUAACAAUAUAAAAACAAAAAUACUGGUUAACCAGAGUUAACGGUCUCUUUCGUGAGCGAUAUUUUUAGAGUCUCCCUCAGUGUGUAACAAUUAUUUUGUUUUUUUUUUUAAAUUUUUAUCACGAAAAAAUCGCAUUCAUUUAUAUUUUAUGUUAUUCAUUCGGAAUAAACGAGCUUGAGCUUGAGCUUGGGUAGACUGUA